rnacentral:rRNA from 1 species
GGACGAACGCUGGCGGCGUGCUUACCACAUGCAAGUCGAACGGAAAGGCCCUGCUUGCAGGGUACUCGAGUGGCGAACGGGUGAGUAACACGUGGGUGAUCUGCCCUGCACUUCGGGAUAAGCCUGGGAAACUGGGUCUAAUACCGGAUAGGAGCCAUUUUUAGUGUGAUGGUUGGAAAGUUUUUUCGGUGUAGGAUGAGCUCGCGGCCUAUCAGCUUGUUGGUGGGGUAAUGGCCUACCAAGGCGGCGACGGGUAGCCGGCCUGCGAGGGUGGACGGCCACAUUGGGACUGAGAUACGGCCCAGACUCCUACGGGAGGCAGCAGUGGGGAAUAUUGCACAAUGGGCGCAAGCCUGAUGCAGCGACGCCGCGUGGGGGAUGACGGCCUUCGGGUUGUAAACUCCUUUCGCUAGGGACGAAGCUUUUUGUGACGGUACCUAGAUAAGAAGCACCGGCUAACUACGUG